AAGCACGGCUUCGCAGCGCACAGGCGGGGAGCUUGCUCCCAAAGAUGCUGCGAGGAAAGUCCCCGUGCCUUCGUGCAGAGAGUGCGAGUGGGACACCGCAGGGCUCGUGCCAGACCUCCAGUGGUAAUGCUUCUCGCGGAGCCUUGGUGGCUGGCUCGGGCCCUUCGCAUCAGCACAGACAUGCCGUGA
rnacentral:RNase_MRP_RNA from 14 species